UACGUAGGGGGCAAGCGUUGUCCGGAAUCAUUGGGCGUAAAGCGCGCGUAGGCGGCCCGGUAAGUCCGCUGUGAAAGUCAAAGGCUCAACCUUUGAAUGCCGGUGGAUACUGCCGGGCUAGAGUCCGGAAGAGGCGAGUGGAAUUCCUGGUGUAGCGGUGGAAUGCGCAGAUAUCAGGAGGAACACCGAUAGCGAAGGCAGCUCGCUGGGACGGUACUGACGCUGAGGCGCGAAAGCGUGGGGAGCGAACAGG
rnacentral:rRNA from 1 species